CGGGUGAGUAACACGUGGGUAACCUGCCCAUCAGAAGGGGAUAACACUUGGAAACAGGUGCUAAUACCGUAUAACAAUCGAAACCGCAUGGUUUUGAUUUGAAAGGCGCUUUCGGGUGUCGCUGAUGGAUGGACCCGCGGUGCAUUAGCUAGUUGGUGAGGUAACGGCUCACCAAGGCGACGAUGCAUAGCCGACCUGAGAGGGUGAUCGGCCACAUUGGGACUGAGACACGGCCCAAACUCCUACGGGAGGCAGCAGUAGGGAAUCUUCGGCAAUGGACGAAAGUCUGACCGAGCAACGCCGCGUGAGUGAAGAAGGUUUUCGGAUCGUAAAACUCUGUUGUUAGAGAAGAACAAGGAUGAGAGUAACUGUUCAUCCCUUGACGGUAUCUAACCAGAAAGCCACGGCUAACUACGUGCCAGCAGCCGCGGUAAUACGUAGGUGGCAAGCGUUGUCCGGAUUUAUUGGGCGUAAAGCGAGCGCAGGCGGUUUCUUAAGUCUGAUGUGAAAGCCCCCGGCUCAACCGGGGAGGGUCAUUGGAAACUGGGAGACUUGAGUGCAGAAGAGGAGAGUGGAAUUCCAUGUGUAGCGGUGAAAUGCGUAGAUAUAUGGAGGAACACCAGUGGCGAAGGCGGCUCUCUGGUCUGUAACUGACGCUGAGGCUCGAAAGCGUGGGGAGCAAACAGGAUUAGAUACCCUGGUAGUCCACGCCGUAAACGAUGAGUGCUAAGUGUUGGAGGGUUUCCGCCCUUCAGUGCUGCAGCUAACGCAUUAAGCACUCCGCCUGGGGAGUACGACCGCAAGGUUGAAACUCAAAGGAAUUGA
rnacentral:rRNA from 1 species